rnacentral:rRNA from 1 species
UACGUAGGGGGCUAGCGUUGUCCGGAAUCAUUGGGCGUAAAGCGCGUGUAGGCGGCCCGGUAAGUCCGCUGUGAAAGUCGGGGGCUCAACCCUCGGAUGCCGGUGGAUACUGUCGGGCUUGAGUACGGAAGAGGCGAGUGGAAUUCCUGGUGUAGAGGUGAAAUGCGCAGAUAUCAGGAGGAACACCUAUUGCGAAGGCAGCUCGCUGGGACGUGACUGACGCUGAGACGCGAAAGCGUGGGGAGCAAACAGG